rnacentral:rRNA from 1 species
AAUGGGGGCAACCCUGAUCCAGCCAUGCCGCGUGCAGGAUGAAGGCCUUCGGGUUGUAAACUGCUUUUGUACGGAACGAAAAGACUCUGGUUAAUACCUGGGGUCCAUGACGGUACCGUAAGAAUAAGCACCGGCUAACUACGUGCCAGCAGCCGCGGUAAUACGUAGGGUGCAAGCGUUAAUCGGAAUUACUGGGCGUAAAGCGUGCGCAGGCGGUGAUGUAAGACAGAGGUGAAAUCCCCGGGCUCAACCUGGGAACUGCCUUUGUGACUGCAUCGCUGGAGUGCGGCAGAGGGGGAUGGAAUUCCGCGUGUAGCAGUGAAAUGCGUAGAUAUGCGGAGGAACACCGAUGGCGAAGGCAAUCCCCUGGGCCUGCACUGACGCUCAUGCACGAAAGCGUGGGGAGCAAA